rnacentral:rRNA from 1 species
UGGUGGAGUGAUUUGUCUGGUUAAUUCCGUUAACGAACGAGACCUUGGCCUACUAAAUAACUUUGACUUACUACCCUGUAAGUUCUUGGUUUCUUAGAGGGACAUUGCAUGUUUAAUGCAAGGAAGUACGAGGCAAUAACA